UACGGAGGGUGCAAGCGUUAUCCGGAUUUACUGGGUUUAAAGGGUGUGUAGGCGGAUUAUUAAGUCAGCGGUGAAAUCUCCGAGCUCAACUCGGAAACUGCCAUUGAUACUAUUAGUCUUGAAUAUUGUUGAGGUGGGCGGAACGGGUCAUGUAGCGGUGAAAUGCAUAGAUAUGACCCGGAACACCGAUUGCGAAGGCAGCUUACUAAGCUAUGAUUGACGCUGAGGCUCGAAAGCGUGGGGAUCAAACAGG
rnacentral:rRNA from 1 species